UAACUCUCCGAAAGGAGAGCUAAUACAGCAUAAGACCACGGCUUCGAAAGAAGCUGCGGCCAAAGCAGGCCUCUGCAUGCAAGCCUGCGCUUGAGGAUGGGCCUGCGGCCCAUCAGCUAGUUGGUAGUGUAAAAGACUACCAAGGCAUAGACGGGUAGCUGGUCUGAGAGGAUGAACAGCCACACUGGAACUGAGACACGGUCCAG
rnacentral:rRNA from 1 species